CCCAAGUGUCUCAUACCCAAACUACUAUGAAAUGCAUUUCUAAGUGAGAUGUAAUAAUAUCCAUAAUGAAUAAUUAUUUACACCAACAAUUUUGGCCAUAAAAUUCCAGAACCAUGUUGGAAUCAUAGAGGUUUUGAAUCUCAUUUUGAUUUUCUCGCCAUUAGCCCUAGUUCACUGGGUUUGACACAUCUGUACUCGACCCUGAAUUUACUGAGUGAUGGAGGAUCUGCAACGGAAAGGGCCGGGACUCCCGUGCAUAAUCACCCACAUUUUCUUAUCUAUGCCCGGACCAAAAUAUUUCCUUCAAAAGGCUUGAAUAGAAAGCAGCAUUUCCUUCAGAAGAUACGCCCAUGUUUUCAAAGCGCAAAUUUUAUGAAAUUGCCAUGCGGUCAUUACUCAACGAGCGAUCCUUCAUUUGGGUACUCUCCAUAAACCUACCCGGCAUAACUUCUUGAACGUCAGAGGUAACUUGGAGAAUUUAACCCUGUGUAGAAUGAUUAUUUGUGAUUGCUUUCGCCCUCUUCUGGGAUGAAUUGAGAAUCGUUUAAUGGGUAGAAGUGAUUCGAGUGCUAGUUUUGGAACCAGCGAAAAUAUUUCCGGGGGUUUUCUUCAUCAUCUGUGCCCUGAACUGUGAGAGGCAUGUCCUUUACUCGACCCCUUUUCCUAUUUUUAUCUUUCACUGUUAUUUUAUCAUUAUCCCUAAAAUUGGAGAAUGUUAGUAAAUGUGCUCUGUUUAUACACUGGUUGGGACCAAUCAACAGAAAUCUUUUACUUCACCUUUUUCAGUAAUGGAGUUUGUCUUUACAGCUACAGUAAAAUAUAUUUUGACUUUUUCAGUAACGCAGACUGUCUUUUUCGUCUUGAUAACAAGUAUUACAUUUCGAGUUUCUUCACCAGCAGUUUCGUGGAGAAGAAUCUAGGGAUUUUAUUUAAGCAGUUUGCUGCAGAGACCUUUGCAUUGAGAGACACAUUUAUCCCAUAUGAUUAGAGUUUGUUUGUAAAGAUUUUUUGCUUAAAAGUUGGUUAUAUUGAAAGCAAAAUUUCAACAGAUUGUUCAUUUGUUGAACAAAAGUGUUGAUCGGUGACAGGAGAUCAUGAUUGUUUUCCCGUUAAGGGUAUUGAUUGCCAUCUUGGUAACAUUGUUUGCAAGAAGGCUAAUGUUGAGACGAGGAAAAAAUUUUAUUUUAUUUUUUUUAUUGUACUUUUCAUCUCAUAUUCAAUUUAGGGUUUUCAGUCUUACAUAAUUGUACAAAUUUUGUGGAUUUUCUUUAUUCAGUUUUUGUCAAAAUGCUAGUUUGAGCAUUUGAAUGGUAAAUACUUUCUUAAGAACUGUGAUGGAUAGGGUUUUCAGGAUGGCUUUGGAUUAGACAGGGCUGAAGAGCUAUCAACACAAGAAUGGGAAGAUCUAACGGCAAUAUUGGUGAAUCCUUGAUAAUUCAAGAUUCCAAACUGGUUUAUAAAUAGAAAGAAGGAUGACAAGGCUGGCUGUUUCUCUCGAGUACCAGAUGCUCUUAGCAUGAAGCUUAAGGAUGACUUGGAAUGUUUUAAGAUCAGGUGGGCAUUGCUGACAAUUACGACAUUCUUUUGGAGGGCUGUACAGGUUUUUUAAGCAAAUUAAACAAUUAAUGAAUUCCUUUUUCGUACAAUAUCUUUAAUAAAAUAAUUCAAUUGAUCCUCUUUAUGAAGAAAGGGAAGGGGUUUACAGAAAUCUUUAAAACUAAAAGUUUUGAUUUAUCACAGAGUACCUUAAUCUCAGGCUCAGACCAAAUACUGCUAUAUUUACAGAGGAAUGAAUUUAAGUUACAUUGUAUCCAUUUCCAAUGAUAGAGGUUAAUUGUCAACUUUUUAUGUUGUAACAUAUAAAGCAGAAAAUCCAAAAAUGGUGGAUUUUAAACUAUUUA